AAUUUUGGACAAUGGGGGAAACCCUGAUCCAGCCAUCCCGCGUGUAUGAUGAAGGCCUUCGGGUUGUAAAGUACUUUUGGCAGAGAAGAAAAGGUAUCUCCUAAUACGAGAUACUGCUGACGGUAUCUGCAGAAUAAGCACCGGCUAACUACGUGCCAGCAGCCGCGGUAAUACGUAGGGUGCAAGCGUUAAUCGGAAUUACUGGGCGUAAAGGAAGGGUAGGGGGUUCAGAAAGCAAGAUUUAAAAGACAAAGGGUCAACCUUGGAACUGCAUUUUUAACUGCCGAGCUAGAGUAUGUCAGAGGGGGGUAGAAUUCCACGUGUAGCAGUGAAAUGCGUAGAUAUGUGGAGGAAUACCGAUGGCGAAGGCAGCCCCCUGGGAUAAUACUGACGCUCAGACACGAAAGCGUGGGGAGCAAACA
rnacentral:rRNA from 1 species